CCAACGAAAGUGCAAACAAGUUUAAAGAGAUUGAAUCAAUUUUGAGCGAGAUUAUUAAAUGAUCAGCUGGCAUCUCGGCUUUGUUGCUUGAAACAAUUAAGUCUAUUCUUUUGACACCUGGAAGUCCUGAAUUUCUUCAGAGACUAAGAUUGACUUCUGCCACCACAAGCCAGCACUGGUGAAGAACUGAAAUCUUCUAUGCUCGUCUUGUGAGAACUCUAGGCCCCUCUUUCAUCUCGGAGACAAAAGAAAAAAUGGCGCCAUAUUUGCCACAGAUCUGGCUCAUAUGUAACAGGAUUUUAUCUACACUUCAAUACAAGUUUCAGGAUGGAAGUUCACUUAUGUAACACAAACGUCAUAUAAGGACACUUUUACUGGAACAGAAGACGUUCGGAUGAGAGAUACAAAAAAAUGGAGCACGUGUUUGCGACAAUCACUGCCGUCCUAUAUUCCAGUAAUGAUCGUGUCUGCCGCUGACUACAGGAAGGAUAAUACUUAACAAACUUCAAAGUUAUUUAAUGACUCAUAAGAGGAUGAUUCAUUUCUGCUGUUUCCAGCAAACUUGAAGAAAGAUCCCAUAUCAACAUUUUUAAGGGUGCUGACAGCUGAGUUAAUCUCAGAUUAGGGUCUAUGGUUGCUGGUGUCAUAAAUCAUAUGACUUUGCAAGCUAGUCACUUCAUAUGUUCUUAUACUUGAGAAUGUGUAGGAUAUGGCAUAGCAGGACUGGGCAUCAUGAAUCAUCAUGAUAUGCAGAAAAAAAAGCACUGGGUAACUUCAGGCAGUUUGAAAUGGACCUCGGACUGGGCUACUCUACUGGAAAACAGUCAUAUAUCUCACAUGACUACAGAUCUAAAGAAAAAUCACGUCAAACAAAAACACAAAUGACAAGGAGAAUGUGUCAUCUGCUGGCAGUGCAUAAUCUGAUUAUGUGGUAAAAGAUGUUUGAGGAGAAUAAAGACUAUACUUACAACAAGGAUGAACUUAUCAUAGCUCAUUUUACAUCCUACAAACAAACAGAAGACAUCUUGUAACUUACAAGUCAUCUUCUCGUUUUUUGUAGUAUGUAAUAUGAGCGUUGGUAAGUUCUUCCUGGCACAUACAGCUCUGUCACGUUUUGUGUUUUUCUAUUCAUGUUUGAGUCUUGUAAUUAGAUUUCAUUGUGUUCAGCUCUUGUUUGCCUAUGUUCCCAUUACUUUGACCCAGUGUGUUUCAUUGAUUGAUCCAUUUCACCUGCUGUCUCCUUGUUAGUUCUCAUGUGUUUGAUCGUGUUACCUGUGUCCAGUGCUGCCAAUUUAGCAAUUUGCGGCUAGAUUUAGCGACUUCCCUGCCCCCUUUUGAGGCUUUUUUCAGAAGCCUAGUGACAAAUCUAGCAAUUUCUUGGACAAACCUUAUCUAGAUUCUGUGACUCGCCCACUGAUCAACAUUUAUAUUAAUAUAGAUCAGUGGACUCGCCAGUAUGACAUCAUCUAGCGACAUUUAGCAACCAGUUUUAGCUACUUUCAUCUAAAAGCAAUUGGCAACACUGCCUGUGUCUGCAACUAACGGUGACAGAAGAACUGACCAAGAACCAUGGAUCUAGCAGCAGUAAGAAUCCUCCUCCUCUCGCAGGGGAACCAGUCCCUCGAGAGACACACACACAGGCCGUUAUAGUUUUGCAACAUCUUGUCCAUUAUGAUGACGUCAGCCUGUGUGUGUUUUUCUAGGCAGGCCUCAACAUAGAGACCAGAGCGCGUGGUCUGGGUACUCCUCUGCAAUGGUUCCCCUUUUACCAUCAGCGAGAGCGAGAAGGAAACCAGCAUGUCUGCCAAGUCUGAGUCUCUUCACGUCCUGCCUGACAAGCCAGAACCUGUUCACAUCAUGGCCGCUAUUCCAGAGUCAUGUCCCAUCAUGGCCGCCAUGCCUGAGCCUGUUUUUGUGAGAGGAUUUCCUGAGCCUGUUUCUGUGAGAAUUUCCUAAGCCUCUUUCCAUGAGAGAAUUUCCUAAAUCCAUUCCCGUGAAAGAAGUUUCCAAGCGCGUUCCUGUGAAUGAAAUCCCAGAGCCUGUUCCUGCCCUUGAGUCGGUAAAUGAAGCGCUGACCAUUAUGGCCACAGCUGUGUUGUGUGUGGGGGCUACACACACAUGGGCUCCAGCCCCUGACUAUCAUCCCAUGAAGGCUCCAGCCCCUGAUUAUCGUCCCAUGAAGGCUUUUGUCCCAGAGAGGUCUCCAGUCCCCAUCCUGAGUCCAGAGAGGGCUCCAUUCCCAGUCCAGAGAGGACUUAAGUCCCUUGUCCAGUGUCCAGAGAUGGCUCAAGCCCAAAAGCCCAUUCCAGAGUCUGCUCCAACACAAGAGCCCGCUCCAGUUCACAACCUCCCAAGAAAAUCUUGAGGGGGUGCUAUAUGUCCUCGGCCGUAGAGGCCAAGCCAAGCCCCUGGGUCAAGGCCACGGAGGCCGAUCCUUCCAGGACCCCUGAACUGCCAGCUCCGCCCGGGCCCCCUGAACUGCCGGCUCCGUUCUGGCCCCCUGAGCUGCCUGCACUGCCAUGGCCAUCUGAAUUGCUGGUGCCACCAUGGUCCCCUGUACUGCCGAUGCCGCUGUGGUGGCCCCUUGUCAGCCUCCAGGUCACACACCCUCCCACCCGUUGAUGUAUUACGGCGAGAGGACACACCUUUCGGGAGGGCGGGGUACUGUCACAUUUUGUGUUUUUCUAUUCAAGUUUGAGUCUUGUAAUUAGUUUUCAUUGUGUUCAGUUCAUGUUUGCCUGUAUUCACGUUACUUUGACCCAGUUUCCCCAGUGUUGAUCGAUCCGUUUUACCUGCUGUCUCAUUAGUUAUCAUGUUUGAUUCUGUUAUCCCUGCGUCUUGUUAAUCAUCCCAUUAGUUCCUCUGUUUGCUGUCUUUUUAAGCCAUGUGUUUCAGUCUGUUUUUGGUCAGUUCUCCAUUGCAUUAUGUUGGUUGAUCUGUUCCUGAGCCAAGUUCCUGUUCACUGUUUCUGUAAUUGUAAAGAUUUUGAGUUUGUUUAAUAAAGGACUGUUGCACUUAGA